rnacentral:tRNA from 1 species
GCCGAUGUAGCUCCAAUUGGUAGAGCGGGGAACUUGUAAUUCUUAGGUUUGCGGUUCGAGUCCGUACAUCGGCA